UGAGCUUGAUCCUGGCUCAGGAUGAACGCUGGCGGCGUGCUUAACACAUGCAAGUCGAACGAUGACCCGGUGCUUGCACCGGUGAUUAGUGGCGAACGGGUGAGUAACACGUGAGUAACCUGCCCUUAACUCUGGGAUAAGCCUGGGAAACUGGGUCUAAUACCGGAUAUGACUCCUCAUCGCAUGGUGGGGGGUGGAAAGCUUUAUUGUGGUUUUGGAUGGACUCGCGGCCUAUCAGCUUGUUGGUGAGGUAAUGGCUCACCAAGGCGACGACGGGUAGCCGGCCUGAGAGGGUGACCGGCCACACUGGGACUGAGACACGGCCCAGACUCCUACGGGAGGCAGCAGUGGGGAAUAUUGCACAAUGGGCGCAAGCCUGAUGCAGCGACGCCGCGUGAGGGAUGACGGCCUUCGGGUUGUAAACCUCUUUCAGUAGGGAAGAAGCGAAAGUGACGGUACCU
rnacentral:rRNA from 1 species